rnacentral:tRNA from 1 species
GGUCAUGGCUCAAAGGUAGAGUGCUUGCCUACCAUGUGUGAGGCACUGAGUUCGAUCCUCAGCACCA